GUUGCUGAUGCUGGCAUCUAUGGUUCCAGAUUUCUUUCCUAGGGUUUCUAUCUCCAGCAUUGCCUCACUUUGGGUGUUCUUUAUUGUGUCUACUUCCCUUUUUAGGUCUAGUAUGGUUUUGUUCAUUUCCAUCACCUGUUUGGAUGUGUUUUCCUGUUUUUCUAUAAGGACUUCUACCUGUUUGGUUGUGUUUUCCUGUUUUUCUUUAAGGACUUGUAACUCUUUAGCAGUGUUCUCCUGUAUUUCUUUAAGUGAGUUAUUAAAUUCCUUCUUUAUGUCCUCUACCAUCAUCAUGAGAUAUGCUUUUAAAUCCAGGUCUACCUUUUCAGGUGUGUUAGGGUGCCCUGGACUGGGCGAAAUGGGCGUUCUGGGUUCUGAUGAUGGUUAGUGGUCCUGGUUUCUGUUAGUAGGAUUCUUACGUUUACCUUUUGCCAUCUGGCAAUCUCUGGAAUUAGUUGUUAUAGUUGUCUUUGUUUAGAGAUUGUUCCUCUGUUGAUUUUGUUACCCUCUAUCAGCAGAUGUGGGAGACUAGCUCUCUCCUCUGAGUUUCAGUGGUCAGAGCAGUCUCUGCAGGCAAGCUCUCCUCUUUCAGGGAAGGUGCACAGUUAUCUGGUGUUUGGACCUCCUCCUGGCUGAAGAUGAAGGCCCAAAACAGGAUCUUUCCCAGAAGCUGUGUUGCUUUGGCCAGGAAGGUGGCCGGUUGUCUGGAGCUGAAGAUGGCGCCGCCUCAGAAGCUCUCUGGCUCUCGCCUGUCCCAGAAACGGUUGGCCUCUGUUUUCCACACCUUCACCGGUGCAGCCUGCCCUCUGCGGGGUCCCGGAGCCAAGGAGGCUCCCGCCGGGGCCUGAGGCACAAACCUCUCGGGCCGGGCGGACCCCUGUGCUCUCACCAGGAAGGUGGCCGGUUGUCUGGAGCCGAAGAUGGUGCCGCCUCAGAAGCUCUGUGGCUCUCGCCUGUCCGUCUAUCAACUAUUGAAGCCCUGAGAGGAUCAGCAUCUUUGCUGUCUACAGAGUGAAAUGUGGCAGGCCACCACUGAGCUGAAUGACCGUUUAACCUUACAGCUAUGCAAGUCUCCAGUCUGCUGUCAUGAGUUUUUUCUUAUGCUCAUGAGGCACAAACUUCCUGCUUCUUUUAUGGAAUCCUCAAGAGGUUCAACAAGACAAAUUCAUUUUGACAUUAGAUGAAACUACUUUAUACCUUUGGGCAUCCAAAGGCUACUCCCCAUCCCUUCCCCAGCUAGGAAGAGAGAGGUGAGAAAACUUCUUGAGAGAUUGUAGGAGCCAGAGGAACAGGGAGUUUGGUGUGAGACUGUGUCUCCUAGGAACAUCGGAAGCUACAUCGAAAGAACUACAGGCAGCUAAGAAGAGUCGAAAGCUGGAGAAAUCCCCUUCGUUAGGAAAGAGCACAGGAAUUGAUUAUCCAAUACAAAAUGGUUAGCCCUGAAAACUCAUAAAGCUUUGAUGUUGAAGCCGCUGUAUUUUCUAAGGCUACAAUUACAAAACCCAAUGGAAUACAGGAGUGCACAUGAAAGGAGAAACAAGGUUUGGUUUUGAGAUUUGAAUUGCUGUGCAUUAUCCAAAGUGGAACAUCCAUCCAAUCAAUCCAUUAAUAAAAACUUGGAGUAUUUAAGGGCAAAUCCAAAGAAGAUUGUUCCAGUGUCUAUGGACAUGUGUUUAUCCAGCCAUAUGGGAAAAAAAUUACUCAGGCAUCUAAUAUCUGGUUGAGAAGCUUAAAAAUGCCAUCAACUGAGUGGUUUCUUUAAAAUAAAAAAUUAGUUUUUGUCUCC
rnacentral:lncRNA from 1 species